rnacentral:rRNA from 1 species
GGCGUGCCUAAUACAUGCAAGUCGAGCGAAUCUGAGGGAGCUUGCUCCCAAAGAUUAGCGGCGGACGGGUGAGUAACACGUGGGCAACCUGCCUGUAAGACUGGGAUAACUCCGGGAAACCGGGGCUAAUACCGGAUAAUAUCUAUUUAUACAUAUAAUUAGAUUGAAAGAUGGUUCUGCUAUCACUUACAGAUGGGCCCGCGGCGCAUUAGCUAGUUGGUGAGGUAACGGCUCACCAAGGCGACGAUGCGUAGCCGACCUGAGAGGGUGAUCGGCCACACUGGGACUGAGACACGGCCCAGACUCCUACGGGAGGCAGCAGUAGGGAAUCUUCCGCAAUGGACGAAAGUCUGACGGAGCAACGCCGCGUGAGUGAUGAAGGUUUUCGGAUCGUAAAACUCUGUUGUUAGGGAAGAACAAGUACCGGAGUAACUGCCGGUACCUUGACGGUACCUAACCAGAAAGCCACGGCUAACUACGUGCCAGCAGCCGCGGUAAUACGUAGGUGGCAAGCGUUGUCCGGAAUUAUUGGGCGUAAAGCGCGCGCAGGCGGUUCCUUAAGUCUGAUGUGAAAGCCCACGGCUCAACCGUGGAGGGUCAUUGGAAACUGGGGAACUUGAGUGCAGAAGAGGAAAGUGGAAUUCCAAGUGUAGCGGUGAAAUGCGUAGAGAUUUGGAGGAACACCAGUGGCGAAGGCGACUUUCUGGUCUGUAACUG